rnacentral:antisense_RNA from 1 species
UCAUCUUCAGGCACUUGAAGUAUGAGGCUCUAGCCACCUUCCCUGAUCACUCCUCUUUCUAGUCCUACUGGCUCUUCCCCACCUUCCUCCCUCCCUCCCACCACACCUGCAUUCAAGUGCUGAAGCAGAGCCUUCCUGCUGAUAAGCCAUCAACACAGGCAAAAGCAGCAUCUUCCAAGGGUCUCCUGAAAAUGAGGCGACGUUAAGCAGUCUGUGCUAAGCUGUACAAUGCUGUACAAGUUUGGAGGAGGAAGUAUCAGAGUAGACCAGACGACUAAGAAAGGCUUCUUAAGAGAGGGAGGCCUUGAAGAGUCUCAGGAUUCAGAUAAGAAAAGAGGGAACAUGAUGGCACUUUAGACAGGAUGGGAAUAUUGUAGGCGAAGGCAACCCUAGCUUUGAGUCCCUCUCAGCCGCCGGUGCCAUCUAAUGUCAUGGAAUGUCUAGCAGUGCCCUUGCCUUUAAAGAUGUGAACGUGUUUCCAUGAGAGGGAACCUCUAUGACUAAUAAGACAAAUAAAAGAAUAACCCCUU